AGUUAUUUAUCGUAAACUGUUUUCUCUCAUUGUAUUUUUUUGUGUUGAAUUAAAUAGCUAAAUUGAAUAAAAUUAUGAAUGGAAAUAAAUAAAUUGAUUGCAGGUGGAAGCAAGUGAGGAGACACAAGCAAGAGCUCUGCUCCUUCUGCGCAGAGUUGUCAACAGUGAUGCCCAGUUCUAUUCUCAGUUUUUCUCGCGAGAACAAGAUGGUGUGCUAGCAUGCCAUCACCAUGCAAAUCGGGCCUCCAUAUUCUCAAGGUGGAAGCAAGUGAGGAGACACAAGCAAGAGCUCUGCUCCUUCUGCGCAGAGUUGUCAACAGUGAUGCCCAGUUCUAUUCUCAGUUUUUCUCGCGAGAACAAGAUGGUGUGCUAGCAUGCCAUCACCAUGCAAAUCGGGCCUCCAUAUUCUCAAGGUGUGAAGAGAGAAGUUUGUUGUGGUGGGGGGAGGGGACACUGUCUUUGCAGCUUGGUAUACUGAUUGCUGUAAUGGGAUGACAGCUUACAAGUAUGGUACUUGAGAGAUGGCUGAAUUUCUGAUCGAACGUAACAGCUCGGUGACAAGAAAGAACGAAGACCCCUCCAUUACACCUCAUAAAUGGGAUACAAUGACCUUGUGCGCCUUCUCUACAACUGUGGAGCUGACAUCAACGCUAAAGAUAAGAUGAUACCAAAACAUAUUACACAGUGUAGAUGGACAGAUAGAAAGUGUAAACAUCAAAAGCCAUCGUGUGUGUUACCCAGUUUCCAUUCUGCAUCUAACAAUAGUAACCGAACAUCCAACAUCAUAACUUUAUUAUAUCAUCUAGUUAAUUUUGAUAUCACAUUAACUAAAAAGCUUUCCUCAUAAUAUACAAGAAAUUAAUACAUUGCCGAGAUUGUCAAAGAUGUGAAUUUUCAAUGUGCUUUGAUGCAAAUUAUUGCAAAAAACUAAUAUCAUGGUUAGCUAUGCAUAAAUUAAUAGGCAUGAUGGUCAUUCUUUACUGAAUCGAAAUAAGCUGUUAUAACUUUGUCAACUAUUAAUUUGGUUUUCAAUAAACUAGUUAUGAUCAGAUGCCUUAUUAAUAAAUGCAAAAUUCAUGUAGGUUAUGUAGCUUUUCUGCAAUAAACUAAAAUUACUCAAUAA
rnacentral:misc_RNA from 1 species